GAGUGGCAGCAGACGCACCAGGUACGAGGAAAGCCUGAGGACCAGGGCGGUGGCCGAGGAUGCCCCCUCGACGCAUUAUUUCCUCCCUGUCGCAAGAGGGCGCUGCGUCCAGGCACUGAGAGGAAGAAAGAGGAGAACGCGAGGAGUAGCAAGUCCGCGUGGUGGGUACGGGCACCUCGCUGGCGCUCUCCUCCCUCCUGUCCCUGCUGCUCUUUGCUGGGAUGCAGAUGUACAGCCGUCAGCUGGCCUCCACCGAGUGGCUCACCAUCCAGGGCGGCCUGCUUGGUUCGGGUCUCUUCGUGUUCUCGCUCACUGCCUUCAAUAAUCUGGAGAAUCUUGUCUUUGGCAAAGGAUUCCAAGCAAAGAUCUUCCCUGAGAUUCUCCUGUGCCUCCUGUUGGCUCUCUUUGCAUCUGGCCUCAUCCACCGAGUCUGUGUCACCACCUGCUUCAUCUUCUCCAUGGUUGGUCUGUACUACAUCAACAAGAUCUCCUCCACCCUGUACCAGGCAGCAGCUCCAGUCCUCACACCAGCCAAGGUCACAGGCAAGAGCAAGAAGAGAAACUGACCCUGAAUGUUCAAUAAAGUUGAUUCUUUGUA
rnacentral:lncRNA from 1 species